rnacentral:misc_RNA from 1 species
GGACUACUAGGGUAUCUAAUCCUGUUCGCUCCCCACACUUUCGCUCCUCAGCGUCAGGUAAUGCCCAGAGAACCGCCUUCGCCACCGGUGUUCCUCCUGAUAUCUGCGCAUUUCACCGCUACACCAGGAAUUCCGUUCUCCCCUGCAUACCUCUAGUCUGCCCGUAUCAGAAGCAGGCUCGGAGUUAAGCCCCGAGUUUUCACUCCUGACGCGACAAACCGCCUACGAGCCCUUUACGCCCAAUAAUUCCGGACAACGCUCGCACCCUACGUAUUACCGCGGCGGCUGGCAC